rnacentral:rRNA from 1 species
GGGGCGUAACUCAUUAGCAUGCCUGCCCAGUGCGAUUAACUUCGUAAACGGCCGCCCUAGCGUGAGGGUGCUAAGGUAGCGAAAUUCCUUGCCUUUUAAUUGUAGGCCUGCAUGAAUGGCUCGACGAGGGUUUAACUGUCUCUAGUCUUAUAUUUUAAAUUGGAUUAAAGGUGAAGAUACCUUUAUAAAAAAGUCAGACAAGAAGACCCCGUGCAACUUUUAAAAUCAGCUUAUUAAGAAAUCUUAGAUUUUUAGGUGGGGCGCCUAUUAAGUAAGUGUAACCUUUUUAACUACAAAAAACUCUCAGGUAUAGACCCGGUAAUUACCGAUCAUAGGAGAAGUUACGCCGGGGAUAACAGGCUAAUUCACUAGUAGAGAACGUAUUGGCUAGUGAGAUUGGCACCUCGAUGUUGAAUCAGGGAUGAUACCUUUAAGGCGUAGAAGCUUUAAAAGUAGGUCUGUUCGACCUUUAAUACCCUACGUGAUCUGAUUUCAGACCGGA